rnacentral:rRNA from 1 species
GACGAACGCUGGCGGCGUGCCUAAUACAUGCAAGUCGAACGCUUCUUUUUCCACCGGAGCUUGCUCCACCGGAAAAAGAGGAGUGGCGAACGGGUGAGUAACACGUGGGUAACCUGCCCAUCAGAAGGGGAUAACACUUGGAAACAGGUGCUAAUACCGUAUAACAAUCAAAACCGCAUGGUUUUGAUUUGAAAGGCGCUUUCGGGUGUCGCUGAUGGAUGGACCCGCGGUGCAUUAGCGAGUUGGUGAGGUAACGGCUCACCAAGGCCACGAUGGAUAGCCGACCUGAGAGGGUGGUCGGCCACAUUGAGACUGAGACACGGCCCAAACACCUACGGGAGGCAGCAGUAGGGAAGCUUCGGCAAUGGACGAAAGUCUGACCGAGCAACGCCGCGUGAGUGAAGAAGGUUUUCGGAUCGUAAAACUCUGUUGUUAGAGAAGAACAAGGAUGAGAGUAACUGUUCAUCCCUUGACGGUAUCUAACCAGAAAGCCACGGCUAACUACGUGCCAGCCGCCGCGGUAA